AGUGAACGCUGGCGGUAGGCCUAACACAUGCAAGUCGAACGGCAGCACAGUAAGAGCUUGCUCUUACGGGUGGCGAGUGGCGGACGGGUGAGGAAUACAUCGGAAUCUACUUUUUCGUGGGGGAUAACGUAGGGAAACUUACGCUAAUACCGCAUACGACCUACGGGUGAAAGCAGGGGAUCUUCGGACCUUGCGCGAUUGAAUGAGCCGAUGUCGGAUUAGCUAGUUGGCGGGGUAAAGGCCCACCAAGGCGACGAUCCGUAGCUGGUCGGAGAGGAUGAUCAGCCACACUGGAACUGAGACACGGUCCAGACUCCUACGGGAGGCAGCAGUGGGGAAUAUUGGACAAUGGGCGCAAGCCUGAUCCAGCCAUACCGCGUGGGUGAAGAAGGCCUUCGGGUUGUAAAGCCCUUUUGUUGGGAAAGAAAAGCAGCAGGUUAAUACCCCGCUGUUCUGACGGUACCCAAAGAAUAAGCACCGGCUAACUUCGCG
rnacentral:rRNA from 1 species